AAUGCCUAGGAAUCUGCCUGGUAGUGGGGGAUAACGUUCGGAAACGGACGCUAAUACCGCAUACGUCCUACGGGAGAAAGCAGGGGACCUUCGGGCCUUGCGCUAUCAGAUGAGCCUAGGUCGGAUUAGCUAGUUGGUGAGGUAAUGGCUCACCAAGGCGACGAUCCGUAACUGGUCUGAGAGGAUGAUCAGUCACACUGGAACUGAGACACGGUCCAGACUCCUACGGGAGGCAGCAGUGGGGAAUAUUGGACAAUGGGCGAAAGCCUGAUCCAGCCAUGCCGCGUGUGUGAAGAAGGUCUUCGGAUUGUAAAGCACUUUAAGUUGGGAGGAAAAGUUGUAGAUUAAUACUCUGCAAUUUUGACGUUACCGACAGAAUAAGCACCGGCUAACUCUGUGCCAGCAGCCGCGGUAAUACAGAGGGUGCAAGCGUUAAUCGGAAUUACUGGGCGUAAAGCGCGCGUAGGUGGUUUGUUAAGUUGGAUGUGAAAUCCCCGGGCUCAACCUGGGAACUGCAUUCAAAACUGACUGACUAGAGUAUGGUAGAGGGUGGUGGAAUUUCCUGUGUAGCGGUGAAAUGCGUAGAUAUAGGAAGG
rnacentral:rRNA from 1 species